rnacentral:rRNA from 1 species
CCUACGGGAGGCAGCAGUGAGGAAUAUUGGUCAAUGGGCGGGAGCCUGAACCAGCCAAGUCGCGUGAGGGACGACGGUCCUAUGGAUUGUAAACCUCUUUUGUCGGGGAACAAAGGCGCCCACGGGUGGGCGGAUGAGUGUACCCGAGAAAAAGCAGCGGCUAACGCCGGGCCAGCAGCCGCGGUAAUACGGAGGAUGCGAGCGUUAUCCGGAUUUAUUGGGGUUCAAGGGGGCGGAGGCGGACAGUCAAGGCAGCGGGAAAAAUGCGGGGGUCAACGCCGUACCGCCGUUGAAACUGGCAGUCUUGAGUUGGCGAGACGUAUGCGGAAUGCGUGGUGUAGCGGUGACAUGCAUAGAUAUCACGCAGAACUCCGAUUGCGAAGGCAGCAUACCGGCGCCCGACUGACGCUGAGGCACGAAAGCGUGGGUAUCGAACAGGAUUAGAUACCCUUGUAGUC